rnacentral:siRNA from 1 species
GUACAGGAUUGUUCUACUGCGCC